rnacentral:rRNA from 1 species
AUGGCCAAGUACUGGUGGAGCAGCUCCGUCGACAGACGUUCUAUGCAUUGGAUAGACUGGAAAUCUCUUUCAGUCUCAAAGUCUAAGGGAGGGAUGGGUUUCCGUGAUCUGGAAACGUUCAAUAUUGCACUACUGGGAAAGCAUGGUUGGCGGCUCAUCACAGACCCGAAAUCUUUAUGCUCUAGGGUUCUCAAAGGCCGCUACUUCCCAACUGUCGAUUUCAUGCAUGCUACUGUGCCGAACAACUCCUCAGCGACCUGGCGAGGCAUCAUAGCAGGGAGGAAGGCACUAGAAGCUGGAUUAAUGAAGAGGAUUUGUGAUGGCACUUCUGUUAAUGUUUGGACUGACCGCUGGCUGCCCGGGAGGCUAUCCUUGCGUCCGUCAGUUCAGAUUGGAGAUGCUACCAUCCACACUGUCUCCGACCUAAUCGACCACGAAAAUUGGAGUUGGAGAACGGAGUUAGUAAGAUCAAACCUCACGCCACCAGAUGCAGAUGCAAUCUUGAACAUACCACUCAGACAUGGUGGAGGUGACGAUUUUUGGGCUUGGGCUCAUGAGAGAUCCGGGACAUAUUCUGUCAAAUCCGCGUAUCGUGCUCUAAUGACUCGCAACGAACAACAAGUUCUAGAGGAAGGGACGAUCACUGAAUCUUCAGAGACUGAUAAAAAGAUGUGGACACGGCUAUGGAAGCUCAAAGUCCUGCCCUAUUCUACCAGUGGAAACCACGCUAAAAUACCGACAUAUUGCGACCGAGGCUCGAUGCAAAGUAUGCAAAGGCGCAGAUGA